rnacentral:lncRNA from 1 species
GGUUUGGUCUCCUUGUCCUUUCAAACCCUCAGGAAAAUGUCAUGGCUGAGGCAGAAGUUGACCCCCUGUGCUUGGAAAGCUACCUGUCCAUCCUCCAAGCUCUAUCUGCUCUUCUUCCUUUGAAAGAAGCUGCUUCCUGCUGUCCCAUGAUGCUCAAUAACCUCCUCCCACCCCAUACUCAUAGACCUAGGGAGAACUUCUUCCUGUAUUUCCUCUGUCAGCCCUCCUCCAGCUCUCUGCAAAAUUAACAGCUCUCCUAACCUCUCCUUUUUCUUCCCCUCUAAUAGCCACAAGGUUCCAAGGCUGGAAACAUGAAGACCCAUUUCCCCUACACAUCCCACGGUGAGGGAAGCAACAUGGUCAUACAUCGCCCCUUUUUUUCCCCAAAUUUCCAUUUCAUUGCUAUCACCUGGUGCUGCUGCAGCAAUAGAUUGGGCAAGCAGCAAUGGUAUGGAAGCCUCCUUCAAGUGCUCUGGGGGAGGAAAAAAAGCACCUUUUUGGAAAUUGCAUCAUCUGUCACAUUGCAGCAGGCAGGGCUGAGAGCACAGGAAUGGCAGCAGCCAGGCUCCCCUGGUCGAUACAAAAGCUCAAAUUGCAGGAAGAGUUAUCCCCAGACAGACCUUCCCUGGCACGGUCCCCCCCAGGGCUCUGUUCUCCUUUGUUGGUGGUUGGUGGCACUUUUGAUCACAACCCAAAGUGGACAGGUUUCUGCUUUGAGCUACAUGGAUGGAGCAGGGAAAGCCAUCGCUUCCACCGCAACUUCUGGAAAACGCUUGUUGGAAUUUUUAUUGCUACCUCAAACUGGACAAGACCCAUCCCAUGAAUAUUUUUUUUUGAAAGUGGAAAUCCUUUACCUUUCAUGUUUGUUAUGGGAAAAAAUCAAAGUGUUUUUUUUUUGCCAAGAAAAGGUUCUUUUCUCUCUGCUACGCGUCCUCUGCUGGAAGAACUUUGAGCAGAAACUCUUCAACGUGCUCCUGCUGCGGAUACCCUCCUGUACAGAGCACGUCUGCUACAAGCAGCUGGAUUAGCUCCAGAAUUCUCUCCCCGUCUAUGCUUGACGGCAGGGAAAAAACUGGGAUCACAGAAUCACAGAAUGGCUUUGGUUGGGAGGGACCUUAAUGAUCAUUGAGU